AAAAUUAAAUUAAAAAACUAAUAUACACCAACAGGAAACCUGGAAUGUAAAACAAAGACUAAAAGUCAUUUGUUGGUAGCGUUUAUAUCGUGUACCUGUGUAAGCGAACAUCUAGAGUUGUGGAGAAAAUCUAAAUGAUCAGCAACAUACGUAGCAAAUUCUGCAAACAAGCAUUAUCCGAAUCCACUCCUUAAUUACCCCAUAACACACCAAAUUAGUUUGAAAUAAAUUCAUUUAUUGAGAUUAUGUGUUAUGGAGUAUAAGGAGCCAUCAACAUCAAUUAAUUAAACACCUAACCAACCAA